rnacentral:lncRNA from 1 species
AUCUUCACUAGAGGAAGAGGUAAGCAUUGAAGAAUGCUGCAUCUUUCGUGGAAGCUUCGUCAAACUAAACGCAAAAACUGGGAAAAUCUUGUGGCAAACCUUCAUGUUACCCGACAAUUUCGGCAACCGUGACAAAUAUGCCGGCGCUGCCAUCUGGGGCAGCAGCCCGCCGAUCGAUGUCACUAGGAACCUCGUCUACGUUGCCACUGGCAACCUCUAUUCUGCACCCCAAAACGUAAUCGAUUGCCAAGAGAGACAAAACAAUCAAACCCAAGUUGCUCCUACUCAUUCCGAUGAGUGUGUGGAGCCUGAAAACCACUCAGAUUCAUUCCUGGCCCUUGAUUUGGACACUGGAGACAUCAAGUGGUUCCAUCAACUUGGGGGCUAUGAUGUUUGGUUUUUCGCCUGUUUUAAUAUUUCAGUCCCUGAUUGUCCUCCCGGAGGACCAAACCCUGAUGCUGAUUUUGGUGAAGCACCCAUGAUGCUCACCAUAUACGUCAAUGGAACUACAAAAGACAUUGUUGUUGCUGUUCAAAAAAGUGGAUUUGCGUGGGCUUUGGAUCGUGAUGAUGGCAACAUUAUAUGGUCUACCGUAAGAUAUCUGAACCCUUUUUUUUUUUUUAUAUAUAUCAAGUUGUGAAAAACAAUGAUUAUAUUAGGCUUUAAAUGGUGAUGUAGGAAGCUGGACCUGGUGGUCUCACAGGAGGCGGAAUAUGGGGGGCGGCCACCGAUGAAAAGCAUGUCUACACCAACAUAGCCAACCCCGACGGUAAAAACUUCACUUUAAAACCAUCAACAAGGAACACGACUGGCGGUGGAUGGGUGGCAAUGGAUGCUACUAAUGGCCAAGUUCUUUGGUCAACAGCCGACCCUACUAAUGGUACGGUAAGUGGACCGGUGACCGUAGCAAAUGGAGUGGUAUUUGGAGGUUCGACAUACAAAGAAUGACCAGUGUAUGCAAUGGAUGGUAAGAGUGGGGAAAUUUUAUGGACAUAUAACACAGGGGCCACUGUUUUUGGUGGUAUGUCAGUCAACGAUGGGUGUAUUUACGUAGGUCAUGGAUAUAGGGUUAGUUUUGGUUUCUUUAAUCCGAGCAUCACUGCUGGGAACACACUCUUUGCUUUUUGCAUAUCUUGAGUUACCACCCAAACAUCAAAUUAAUUAUCUGUAAUAAAUACAUGCUGCUAUUUUUAGUUUGUAACUUGAAUAGCAGAGUCUGUGGCAAUGGUGCCUAAACUUUUAUAGUGUGAUUAGUUUUUUAAAUAUUUUAUUGAUUAUUAAAUUUUUUUAUUAAAUUUAAUUUAAUUAUAAUGUCAUUUUUGUCUCAUGGAUAUGAAGGUAGUAUAUAUUUUUUUAAUUUCAAUAUGUCCAACCAAUAAAUUUAACGUAAGAAUUUUAAUAGCGUUAAUAAAUAGACUUAAAUUUUAAAGUUCGAAAAAUAAAGAGAUUAAAUUUCUGAAAAUAAAAAUAUGAAAAUUAAAUUUUAAAUUCAUGAAAGAACUCACAACACCUUUAAGCAUAUUGUAUACUUUAAAAUUAUAUUCUAUAAUUUAUUAAAAAAAAUCAACCCAACACGUGGGAAGGGACCAUACUAGUUUAAAAAAAAUUUAAUGUAUCAUCCAAACAACUUUGCUUGUUUUAUAUAACAAAAUGAAUUAUUAAUGUCAUCAUUUUCGUAUACUAAACGUUUUAAACAUUAGAUUAGAAAAAUCAAAUAUGAUUCAAGGAAGUAUAUUACAAUAUAAAAUUCGAAUAAAUAUUAUUGAUUUUUAAAUUAGAUUGAUGAUUGAAUAGAUAAAGUUAUUAGUUCGAAAAAUAAUAAAAAAAUAUUCGAUUUAAUCAAUUUAAAGUUAUUUUUCGAACACAUAUAAUUCAAACAACAUUGAUAAAUAUGAUAAUUGGUCUAGAGGAAUAUAAUAAGUUAUUAUGAUUAAUGUUCAAAAUUUGUGAUUACUCUUCUAAUAAUAUUGUUUUCAAUAUUGGGACUGGUGUUGUCCUUUUAGAGUAUAAAUGUGAUAAUUUAAUUUUUUUUAAUGUUUUUAUCAUUGGGUUUUAUUAAAGUCUAAGCAUUACUAAGAAUGGAGUAAGUAGGAUAAAAGAGUUGACUUUAACAAAGCACGCAAAUUAAAGUUAUAAUUGACUAAGAUGACUUGUAAUUUAAAAAGUAAAAAAGAAAUUAAUUAUAUGUUAAUUUAAUAUCGAGAAAAUAAUAUUAAAUUUAGCCUUUAAUGUUUAUAUUUUUUUGUUAAUUUGGUUUCUUUUUUCCUUUAGCUAAAUUUGGCCCUAAGUCAAAUUAUUUUUUAAAUAAAAAUACUUACUGAAACAUUAAAUUUUUAAAUAUGACAACCCAUAUGACAAUUUACAUUUACUUCUACUUUUUUUUGAAUUUUUUUGAAUUUUUUAUAUAUUUUUUGAAUUUUUAAAAGUUUUAAUUUAUUUAUUGAUGACGCAUAUAAAAUAAAUAAUGUCAUAUCAACAUAAAGUACAUGUAAAUUAUCACGUGAGAUGCCACACUAUCAUUAUUAAAAAAUGAUGUUUUAAUUAGCAUUUUUGUUAGAAAAAAAUCCAUUUCACUCUUUUUUUUAGGAGGUCGAGGGCUAAUUUUAACUCAAAAAAAAAAAAGAUCAAAUAGAUAGUAAAUGUAAACAUUGAAAGCUAAAUUUAGGAUUACGCCCUUAUAUAAACUUUAAAGCUUUGUUUGGCAUGGGUGGAAAGAAAUUGGAAAGAGAAGGAAUUGAAAUAGUAGAAAAAUAGAAUGAAAAAAAGUAUAAUUUUUCUUUUCAUAAGUGUACUUAGUAGAAAAGAUAGAAAAACGGAAAGAAAAAAAAUCUUUCUAUUCAUUGUUUGAUAGAGCUGAAAAAUGAUUAGAAAGAAAAUGAACCUUUUAAAAAUUACAAAAUUUUUAAUUAAUAUUAUCAAUUUUCUUAAUUUUUUUCCGUCCUUACUAAACACAUUCAAUUUUUUCCACUUUCUCCUCUUACUUUUCUAUUCAACCAAACAAACCCUAAAACUUUGAUAAUAUAAAACAUUUGCAUUACUUAAUUAUUUGGAGUAAAAAUAUUAUAAAGUCAAAAUUUCAAUUUUUUAAUAUAUGAAAAGAAAACAUAAAAUAAAAUCUUGCAAACAUCAAGGUAUCAAUUGUCAGAUCCUGUUUUGUCUCCUAACAUUCUGUAUAAAUAAAGAUUUUGAUAAUAAAAACAGCAUAAAGACUCAAAUUUAAUGGAGUUUGUUCUCUUACUAUGCCUUCUUUCUUCACUGGUUUUUACACCAGCAUAUUCAAAUGUAAGUCUCAAAACCUCUUUUUUUUUUUCUUUCUUAAUCAUAUAUAUAGGCAUAUAUACAUAUGCAUAUAAAAAAAAUUACACAUAGCAUAUAUAAACAUAAAAACCUUUAGUGAUGUUAAACCCUAAAUUUUCUAUAGUUUUGUAUUUGAAUCAAGUUUUUUUCUCAAUAAUUGCCAAUUAGUGUUACACUCAUUUGCUUCACAUGCUUUUCAAAAUAUUGCAUGUUAGAUGGAUUAGAGGGUUUUUGGCCCUUCAAAAUUAGUGCUACUAAACUUUAGAAAAUUUUACUAAAACCCUCUAAAAUUUUCGAAAAUUCUCAAUUUUUAAAUAAAAUUUAAUGAAAUCCUUUUUUUAAAAUUCUCAUUAAACACCAAGUUUUUUUGGAAGUUUUAAUCAAACCCCAAAACCCAAAACUUAAUGCUACCUUUUGCCACUGAUUGUGUUUUAGUUAAAUCUGGAAUCACUUGGUGUAGGACUGGUUAAGCCAUGGUGGGAACCUACUGAACAGGAGAUUUGCGGAGAAAGAAACCAAAAUAAGCCCCGAAACAGUAUCGAAGCUGAGAUUGAAAUGGAAAUUCGAAGCAGGAAGGGACAUAACAGCAACACCAUCGGUUUUUAAAGGAAGAGUUUAUUUCCCAAGUUGGGAUGGUUAUCUUUAUGCAGUGAAACAAUCCGAUGGCUCUCUUAUUUGGAAACAAAAUUUACAACAGUUGACCGGCAUUAAUUCAACAAGAGUUAUUUUCAAUGUUAAUGUCACAGCUUCAAGAACAACACCCACAAUUGCUGAUGAUUUGUUGAUCAUUGGGAUCAGUGGACCAGCUUUUGUUGUUGCAGUGAAGCAAUCCAACGGGGAGCUUGUUUGGUCUACCCAGCUCGAUGACCAUCCAACUGCUGUUAUCACCAUGUCUGGAACUUAUUAUAAUGGGUUAGUUAUUUUAACUUUAUUUUUUUAACUUCGUUUACGAUUUAUGUUUAGAGUUUUUAGUUGACAUGUAGAGUCGGCAUAGAUUUUAACUCUAUGUUGACAUAAUGAUUUUUCUUUUAUAAUCUUCAGAUGACAUAAUGUUGUGAUUUUAUAAAUAAAAGAAUUAGGCAUAUCAAUCAUUGUUGGCAAUUAAAAUAGAAACAUGAAAUCAGUUUUGUUUAUUAUUCUAUUAUUUGAACAACAAAAUUCUGAGCUUUGCUUUCUUUAUUGUUAGAUAAACACUUGGCCUGCAACAUAUACACUCAUCAACUUGGUCUUCAAUUUGUUUCUGACAUUUUAGGCAUAAGUGGAUGUUAUUUGUUGAUAAAUAAUCGAAAAGUCAAAUGUAAGGCUAUCUUUUAUUUUCUUUGGCUAACUGUUUUAGUCGGUUGUAUUAUUAUAUCUCAAUUUUCCAAUAUUUUUAUGGUAAAUUAUAAAAGAAGUAAUACAAUUAUUAGUAAUUCUUUUUUGUUGCUCGACUAUGAAAAUUUAUAAAAUUGUCAUCCAAUUAUUUAAUUUUAUCGUUUGUUGUCACGGUUGACUAACAAUGGGCUUUUAAAAUUGACAUAAUAGUAAUUUUAACCUUCAACAUUUACAUAUUGUGUAAUUUAGUCUCUCAUUUUUUGCAGUUUUGCUUUCUUUUCUUUUUUUUUUGUGGCACCAGGGGUUAAUUUUAAAAAAAUGAGAAAAGGUGAAAACUAUUAUCUUGGGUUUAUGGCUGUUUUCAUUUUUUUUUUGUAUAUUUUCAAUCAAAUUUAGUUGAUAAAUUUGUUUGUUUAGCUUUUUCGGUAAAGGGUCACAAAAAUAUGCAAAAAAAAGAUAAAAUUACACAAUGUGUAAAUAUUGAGGGUUAGAUUUUUUAGAAUCAAAACUAAAUUGACACAAUUUAUAAAUGUUGAAUAUUAAAGUUGUCAUUAUGCCAAUUUUAAAAGUUAUCACCAUUAGCCGCCCAAUGACCAAAAAAGAUGAAAUUGAAUAGUUAGGUGACCAAAAAAAGAAUUUACUAAUAGUUGGGUAACUAUUAAUGUAGUUUACCUUAUUUUUUAAUCUUAAUUUGCACUUAGGUUGCGCCUGUUUUGGUGAAAAUAGUUUCUAGAAAAUGAAUUAAUUUUAUUGGAAAAUCAAUAUUUUUUAGUAUUUGAAUAAUUAUAUGUAAAAUGUUUUUAGUUUUUUGGUAAAUUUUCUUAAAAUUGUCUUCUAAAAAUUGUUCUUAGUGAAUUAAACACAACAUAAAUAUAUCACUUACAAAAUAUUAUAAUAACAUUUCCUUUUGACAAUCAAAGUUUAUUUUAUAAUAAGAUUAUAUUUUAUAACAUUUACAUAUAUGAGAGUGGAUAGUGGAUGGUGAAGCAUUAAAAUUAGAAGAAAUAAAUGAAGCUAAACAUGGUUUAAAUUAAAAUAAUUAUAUUUUAUACUAUAAAGAAUCUAUAAAUUGUAAUAUAUAUUAGUAUUAGAAUGUUAACAUAAUAUUUUUUAAUAAUAUAUUAAUAAUAUUAUUUAAAAUUAUUAUAGUUAAUUUUAUUAUUAAAAUAAAAUUGUAAUAUUAAACAAUUUAUUAAAAUAAAAUAAAAUAUUAAUUAUAUUAAUACUUUAGUAUAUUAUUAAAUAUAAAUAAUUAAAUGCGUAUAUUUAAUAAUAUUAAAUAUUAUAAUAUUUGAUAUUAAUAUUUUAAUAUUUGUAGAAAUUAAAAUUAAAAAUAUAAUUCUAAAUCCUAAAUAUGGAUAGUAAAACAGGAACAUCACAUGUAAAUGCAUUUAUAGCUAAACAAUAAUGCAUAAUGUGGCGUUCAUUUGAUUUAAACUCAGGAACUUCUACGUGGGCACAUCUUCACAAGAAGAAGAGGUAAGCAUUGAGCAAUGUUGCACCUUUCGAGGAAGCUUGGUCAAACUAAACGCAAAAACUGGAAAAAUCUUGUGGCAAACCUUCAUGUUACCCGACAAUUUCGGCAAUCGAGGCGAAUAUGCCGGCGCUGCCAUCUGGGGCAGCAGCCCACCGAUCGACGUCACGAGGAACCUCGUCUAC